rnacentral:lncRNA from 1 species
UGAUCAAUUCAUGGAACCUAGCUUUCGCGUUGUCCGUGAGAUCAAGCAUGGAGAGGAGAGAAUAAUUGAAGAGAUCGAGCAUUUCAGUCAUCAACAUAACCUAAUCCUUAUUGACAAGGUUGAUGAUGAUCUAAAGUGUGAGGGGUGCAUGCUACCAAUCUCAACUCCAUUUUAUAGGUGUGCCAGGUGUAAUUUCUUUCUUGACAAAACCUGCAUAGAAUUACCCAGGAAAAAAAAGUGGCAAUAUCACGAAAACCAACUGAUUCUUUCAUGGAACCGAGGGUCACAUGAUCUGUACUACUGUCAUGUGUGUAAUCAAGUUUCUCGUGGGCUCAGCUACUUUUGUGAUAUAUGUAGACUCUCCAUUGAUGUCCGAUGCUUCAAAUCAUUGAAAGAUUCUUUUAAACAUGGAGGUCAUGAGCAUCCCCUUUAUCUUCCAGCGGACAGAAAGAAUAUUCUCCGUUGCAGUAAUAUUGGAGGUAGCUGGCCUCCCCCUUUGCUUGCAGCGGACGGAGAGAAUAUUCCCCAUUGCAGUGGCUGUUGUGUCAGUGAAGAAUCGAAGGUGUUUUUUAAAUGUGUGGUUUGCGAUUUCAAGCUGGGUAUGAAAUGUGCUACACUGCCAUACAAAGCAAGACACGAGUAUGAUGACCAUCCUCUCUUCCUCACCUAUAUCAAUGCAAAUGACUACCAACCUUCCUGUAUAAUUUGUGAAAAAGAUAGAGACCCAAAGCUCUGGUUCUACCGUUGUGAGGAAUGCGACUUCGAUGCUCAUCCAGAAUGUGCUCUCGGGAAAUACCCAUACGUCAAGCCAGGGGGGGUUCACACGUAUCCUAAACACCCUCACCCUAUUGCUUUGGUCGACAAGACAGAGGAUUAUCGUCCACAGGCAUGCGAUACUUGUGGUGAGCCUUGCGACGACUUGGCCCUUGAAUGUACUGAUCCUAACUGCAGUUUUAUCGUCCACAGGAAAAGAUGGCAAUGCUUUCAGUCAUUACUAUAUUAAUGCAAAUGACUACCAACCUUCCUGCAUAAUUUGUGAAAAAGAUAGAGACCCGAAGCUCUGGUUCUACCGUUGUGACUCAUCCAGAAUGUGCUCUCGGGAAAUACCCAUAUGAGAUCACUUGUGGCUAAACACCCUCACCCUCUUGCUUUGGUCGACAAGACAGAGGAUUAUGCAGCAUGCGAUACUUGUGGUGAGCCUUGCGAUGACUUGGCCCUUGAAUGUACUGAUCCUAACUGCAAUUUUAUCGUCCACUAUAAAAGAUGGGAAUGCUUUGAGUCGUUAUGGUAGUUGGAUCGCAGUUGUUGGCUUUUUUCUUAUUUUUGGGUUAUGAUUGUUGGCAGUUGCAAGACAGAGGAUUAUUAUCUCUGUUUCUAUUUUCGCAUAUGAGAUCACUUUUUUUCUCUCUGUUUUUUUUAUUUUCUGAACAAUAAAAGAUGCAAUUUCAUUAAGACUGUCCUUGAAGGUAGUUUGUUGUUUCUGUUUGCCUUCGUAGUGACAGAGAUGUCUGACCUUCCACCAUUUUUCUUAGCUCAGCAGGAAGCUCUUGAUCCUCUCCAUAAAUUAUUCUACUUAUUGUUUCGAUUCCCUCUUUACAUUUUUGUUAUAGAUUUUAUUGUAAAUGCAUAAAAAUAUUGUCAUAUAAAAUAACACUUACCUGAUUUUUCUUAGAUAAUUACUAUGUGUAUAUCUGCGACGUGUAUAUGUUGUCAUAUAAUAAAAUAUUGUCAUAUAAUAAUUCUCUAAUUAAAAUAUAAUAUUAUAGUGUUUAUAUAUUAAAAAAAAUAUGAAAUAAAAAUAAAAUUUAAACUAAAUAGGAAAAAAAAUUCUAAAUCAACUAAUAAAAUAUUACAAGUUGAUAGUUUUUGUGGUUUUAUUUGAAAGUCUUACUGAUUUUAAAAGGCUAUAAAAUUCUAAUUUUAUAGAAAAUAAAGCUUUUAAAAUCUUCUAAUAAAAUUUGAGUUGGAUAAAGUAAAAAAUAAAAAUAAAACUAUACCCUUCACAAGACUACUUAUUUAAGAAAAAAAAAAUCAUAUAUCAAUCUUGUCUCCAAUUCAAAUUGUUGUUGCUUCAAUUUUGUAGGUAUCCAAUUAAAAAUCUCGAACCUUUGCAUGCUGCUAGCAACAUUCCUAGCUUUUUUAUUAUUAAAAAUCUGUUUAUUUUUGUGUUUUAAAAAUAUUUUUUUAAUAAAAAAUUUACUUUAAAUUAAUUUUUUAUGAUAAAGUUAAAAAGAAUUUUUUAAAAAAAUUUAUUUUAAUAUUUUUCUAAAUAAAAAAAUAUUUUAAAAAUCAAUGGAAUAGUUAACGUGGAUUGCGAUUUCAACCCUUGUAAUAAAUGGGCUACUCUGCCAUGUAAAGCUAGACACAUGUACGAUGACCAUCCUCUCUUUCUCACCUCUAAUGAUCCAAAUGACUACCAAUUUGUCUGUCAAAUUUGUGAAAAUCAUAAAGCUCUGUUUCUCCCGUUGUGAGAAAUGCAACUUUGAUACUCAGCCAGGAUGUGCUCUUAGAAAAUACCGAUAUAUCAAGGUAAUGGGCGUUUACACAUGACUUUCAGACUCCCCGAUGCACGAAUCCAUGAAUUCUUCUUCUUCUUCUUCUUCUAUUACUGUGUUGUGUGUCUAGGUUUUUGAAAGAAGAAGAAGAAGAAGAAGAAUUUUAUUUCUUAUUCAUUCAAUAGAUAUGGUUACAAGAUAAAAUAGUAGAGGAUAUCACCAAAUUAGAAAGGCCACAAAUUAGGAAAUCAAAAUAAAGAUCGGAGCAAUCUCUAUUCCAAGAAAAUCCUUAAUCUCUGUUUCACUUGCAAUGCAUGUGGCACUGAUUUGUUGAAGAUUAUUAUACCAUCAGACGUCACAUCUGUUGCAUUUCUUCGUUCAGCUAACCCACUCUCAGACAAUUUUCCCUGUGUAUAGAAAGUUUCACCAAAUUAGGAAAUCAAAAUAAAGAUCGGAUCUCUAGGCUAGAAAAACAAGAAACGGGAGCUUGGUUAAUGUUGACAUAUUCACAGGCAUUCACAGUUUCUUCAAGGAUUCUCUUUAGCCAUAACAUUUCACAAACUUCAUUGCCAUAACCCUAUAUUCUACCUCAGCACUGCUUCUUGCAACCACAUUUUGUUUUUUACUUUGCCAUGUUACUAUAUUUUCUCAAACUUAAGUACAAUAUUUUAAUCUGUAUCCUCUAUCAAUGACUGAACUUGCCCAAUCUGCAUCAUGUAUAUGAUUCUUUUGUCUCCGCUUGUCUGGUGUACAAUAUUCUACCUCACCCUCUUGCUUUGGUCGACAAGACAGAGGAUUAUCCAGCAUGCGAUGCUGGUGUACUAUAUUAUUGGUAUGAUCCAUUCGAUAGCUUUGUCCUUUAAGAUAUAUCGUGAAAAGGGAAGUUAAUUCCUGUUUUUAGUAUUUUUCUUCUUAAGAAGAAUAAGAAUAAGCCUCCAUCUUCUUUAUCUAAUUUCAAAACCACGAAGGGAUUGAAUUAGAGGCCCAAAUCUCAUUUCAAUUAUUUGGUUAGAUAAUAUAAAUCAGCGGCGAAGCAAUCUAGAACCUGAUUGAUUUUUAAUUUAGACAAAAAUCCCUCUCGAGUUCAAACCCAAUUUAAUUAUUUUUAAUCGGGUACUUCAAAAAAAUAAUUAAUGCUUUUGAAACUUCUACUGCAAGCGGAAAAAACAAGUAAUACGAGUAGAAUCACUAUAUUAAAAUUCUCUAAUUAAUAUAUAAUAUUAUAGUUUUUAUUUAUUAAAAAAUCCUAAACAAAAUUAAAAUAAUAAUAAUAAUAGAAUUUUAAACUAAAUAGGAAAUAAUUCUAAAUCCACUAAUAUAAAAUAUACAGUGUGAUAGAUUUUUUGUGUUUUUAUUUGAAAGUCUUACUGGUUUUAAAUGACUANNNNNNNNNNNNNNNNNNNNNNNNNNNNNNNNNNNNNNNNNNNNNNNNNNNNNNNNNNNNNNNNNNNNNNNNNNNNNNNNNNNNNNNNNNNNNNNNNNNNNNNNNNNNNNNNNNNNNNNNNNNNNNNNNNNNNNNNNNNNNNNNNNNNNNNNNNNNNNNNNNNNNNNNNNNNNNNNNNNNNNNNNNNNNNNNNNNNNNNNNNNNNNNNNNNNNNNNNNNNNNNNNNNNNNNNNNNNNNNNNNNNNNNNNNNNNNNNNNNNNNNNNNNNNNNNNNNNNNNNNNNNNNNNNNNNNNNNNNNNNNNNNNNNNNNNNNNNNNNNNNNNNNNNNNNNNNNNNNNNNNNNNNNNNNNNNNCAUGAGACCGGGGAUAAUCCUAUAAACAAAAAAAAAAAAACAAAUUAUAAAGUUCAUUCUCAACCGACAUAAUGUUGAAUGAUUAAUUUUGAAAAAAAAAGUCAAUAAAAAAGGAUACAAAAAACAACCCGAGUUAACUUCGGUUAACCCGUUUAGCACUAUUCUCAAGUCAUGAGAGCAAGAAAACUUAGUGAAAAAUAAGCCGAAACAAAUCAUAAAGCCUAAUUCCCAAUCAACCAAAUAUUAAAAGAUAAAAUUAAAAAAUAAGACAAUUAAAAAAUAAAAAUAAAAACCGAGUUAACCAGGCUAAGUUGUCAAUCCCACGAUCUAGAUCAUGAGAUUAGAACAACCCAAUAAAAAAAUCAAUGUUGAAAGACUCAUGACCUGGGUAAUGAGACCGAGAUAACCUUAUAGAAAAAAAAUAAAAAUAAUAACUUUAUUUUAAACUUGGUUGACCUGCUAGACCCGCAACCUUGAUCACAAGAUAAGAACAACCUCAUAAAAAAAAUUAAAAAAAAAAUAUAAAGCUCAUUUUCCAACUCGUCUAAUAUUGAAUAAGAAAAUUAAAAAAUAUAUUUUAAAAAAGGCAUAAAAAAUCACCUGAGUUAACUCAGGUUAAUCUGUUAAGUUAUUUAUAAGUCAUGAGUCGUGAUAACCUAAUAGAAAGCAAACUGAAAAAAUCAUAAUGUUCAACUCAAUAUUAAAAAAUCAAAUUGGAGGAAAAUCAAUCAAGAAAAUAAAAAACCUUGAGUCAAUUGAAUUCACCAGUCAAAUUCAUGAUUCAAAUUAUGAGACUGAAACAACCCAAUAAAAAAUAAAUUCAAUGUUAAAAAUGAAAUUGCAAGAAAAAAAAAAGCAUUUAUUAAAAAAAAAUCAAAUGAAAAAAAGAAAGAAAAAAAAAAGGCACUAUAGUGCUUGGUUUAGAGGCCCCUUCGAAAGAAUAUUGGUGAGGUUAUCAUAAAUAUAAUACCUUGCCACAGGUACUUUGCCUUGAUUUUUUCGGAGUUGAUCAAUGGAUUAACCAAGAAAUAGAUUUUACCUCUGAAGAAAAUCUUUGUUUCACUUUCUUAAUACAUUUUACUUUAAGAAACAAGGAGAAAGGAAAAAUAAAAAGGACAAACGAGAAAUUACUUGGUAGAGAUAACCAAGAAAUAGGUUUAUCAAACGAAUGACCUAAUUUUUGUUCUAGAUAACUUCUUGAAGCCGCUGUUUUGAAUUUCAAAUUAUUAAAACUAGAAUUUUUAAACCUGACUUUAUUAUAAUUCAAGUCAUAAGUUUUGUUCAAUUUUAUUUUAACCCUGAUCAACAUGAUAUACUAAACCAAAUUUUAAAACUAUGAUCGAAACACAUCCAAACCACCAUGUGUAUUAUAAUAGUGAUAAUUUUUUAAAAUGUUUUUUAUUUAAAAAUAUGUUAAAAUAUUAUUUUUUUAUUUUUAAAAUUUUAUCUUUAACAUUACUAUAUCAAAUCAAUUUAAAAAUAUAAAAUAAAAUAAAAAUUUAAAAACACACAAGAAAAAUCAAUUCUAAGGUUGAAAUAAAAAUACAUCUAUUUGAUAUGUCAUCUCACCUUAUUUAUUGAACAGUGGUCAUUUCAAUCACAAGUUUGGCCUACUCCACAAGCACAAAACCUACAAGAGGCUCUAUAUUAUAUUUCAAUUGGUUUGUUCAUCGAAGAAGUUAUAUAUAAUGUGGGAUUCAUAAACAAAGAAAAAUAAAUUAAAUACAUUAUUAUGUAAUACUAUUUAACUUGCUUGAUUUACUGCUGCAAAGAUAUUAACUUAUCAGUAACCCUUCUUUUUGGUUAUAAAUAACUACAAAAUUAUAAUUAUAUAUCUAAGAAAUUUUAUAAAUAACUACAAAAUUAUACAAAAAAACUAAAUUCAUUCGUGAAUCACUAUGGCUUGUGAGAGGAUUUGUUGUGAAAAAAAUAUUAAAAUAAAUAUUUUUAUUUUUUAAAUAUUAUUUUUAAUAUCAACAUAUUUAAAAAUACAAAAAACUUAAUUUUAAAUAUUUUUUUAUUAAAAAAACCGUUUAGAAAGCAAUUUUAAACCGCUACCCAUGGGCAAAUGAGUAAUAUAAGAAGUUGAGGAGACGCAACUCAAGUCAACGAGUCUUCUUCUCCAACCAGAAAAGACAUGGGAAAGUGUCUUCUUAUUCACAUUCUUGAAAAUAAUCUCAUCCGCACAAAUAGAGGAGCCUGUAGCUUUCCUCACGAUCUUCUUCCCACCUAUUCCUUACAGAUAACACCCUUCCUUCCUUUUUGGGCUUCUUUGAAUAUCGGGUCCUUUUAAUUAUUUUUCGUUUGGGCUUUCUGUCCCAUAAUCUUUGAUAAAUGGGAAGAAGGAAGAAAAAUGCUUCCCCAGCAAUUGAUUGGUAUCCGAUCUUGAUUGGAAAUCACUGUGUUCUGGAUCUCGUUGGUUGAUCUGUAAUGUAGCAGUAAGCAGCUGUGAUUAUUUAAUUAGCCGUCGGUGAAGAGGUCAAGUUUCAGUUCAGAAGAUGAGGUAUUGAAUACUUGUAGCACUCAACUUUUAUUUGCCUUUCCAUUUCGAUAACAUAUAUAUUCGGCAGCUUCAAUAUGGCCUCCCUAUGUCUUGCCUUGGGUCAACACCCCUUAUUUCCUGCUCUGCCUUCUGAGAGAGCCAGAGACAUGGAGGUCGAACAUUUUAGCCACCCAGAUCAUCCAUUGAUCCUCAUUAAUCAAGUUCUCGAGUAUACUUGUGAAUUAGUUAUUUGCUCUGGAUGCGAGGGACAAAUAUGGGGUCCUUGCUACAGUUGCACCUCUUGCUACUUCUUUCUUCAUAAGAAAUGCGCCGAGCUGCCCCGUGAGAUCAAGCGGCGCAUUCAUCGUAGACACCCUCUCCAUCUACUGGCAAAGUCACCAUAUAAAGGAAAAUACAGUUGUGAUCGGUGCUACAAAACUUUCAACAGUUUUGUUUACCAUUGUUCUUUCUGUAAGUUUGAUCUAGAUAUCAAAUGUGCUUUUCAACCGGGUUUUUUUGAGGUUGAUAGUCAAUUUGCCCAUAAGGAUCAUCCAUUGAUUUUGAAUGAAGAACAAGAAUAUCAUGGUGCAGGAGUUGUGUGCUCUUUGUGCAAGGAACCAAUGUCUGGUCCUAGCUAUAGUUGCACUUCUUGCAACUUCUUUCUUCACAAGAAGUGUGCUGAGCUACCCCCAGAGAUCAAGAGGCACAUUCAUCCAGAACACCCUCUUCGUCUACUGCCAAAUCAUCACAUGAUCUGUGGUUUUUGCAACGAAACUUGCUAUGAGAGUUUUGUUUACUGCUGUUUUGUGUGCGAAUUCAACCUCCAUAUCAAAUGUGCUUUUCCACCGUGCGUUUAUGCAGCUGAUCAGGAUCAAAGGCAUCGAUUUAGACGCCUCCUGAAUCCACUUUCAUUCAAAUCAAUCUCCUUCACCUGCAAUGCAUGUGGCACUGAGGGAGAUGACUCCCCUUUCAUGUGCACCAUGUGCCAUCUCGUGGUCCACGAAGAAUGCCUUUCAUUGCCACUCACCCUUAAAAUAGCACUGCACCAUCAUCCCCAAAUCAUCCACACCUUUCAUCCUCAACAAUGCAUCAAAUCUAUAAAGAAGCACUGUGGAAUUUGCUGUCGGGAAGUUGACACAGAAUACGGAGUUUACUAUUGCCCAGACUGUGACUUCGUUGCACACGUGAAUUGUAGUAUAGAAUAUGGUGAUUCUGCAACAAAGAUUGUAGAAGAAAACGAAGAAGAGCAAAGUGUGACUGUUUAUGAUCAAUUCAUGGAACCUAGCUUGUGCGUUGUCCGUGAGAUCAAGCAUGGAGAGGAGAGAAUAAUUGAAGAGAUCAAACAUUUCUGUCAUCAACAUAACCUAAUCCUUAGUGAUAAGGUUGAUGAUGAUCUAAAGUGUGAUGGGUGCAUGUUACCAAUCUCAACUCCAUUUUAUAGUUGUGCCAGUUGUAAUUUCUUUCUUGACAAAACCUGCAUAGAAUUACCCAGGCGAAAAAAGUGGCAAUAUCACGAAAACCAACUGAUUCUUUCAUGGAACCAAUUGGAAGAUGAUCUGUUCUACUGUGAUGUGUGUAAGCAAGAUUUUCGUGGGCUCAGGUACACAUGUGAUGUAUGUGGACUCUGGAUUGAUGUCCGAUGUUUCAAAUCAUUGGAAGAUUCUUUUAAACAUGGAGGUCAUGAGCAUCCCCUUUAUCUUCCAGCGGACAGAAAGAAUAUUCUCCGUUGCAAUAUUGGAGGUCGCGGGCGUCCCCCUUGGGCUGCAGAUGGCGGAGAGAUUAUUCCCCAUUGCAGUGGAUGUUGUGUCAGUGAAGAAUCAAAGGUAUUUUUUAAAUGUGUGGUUUGCGAUUUCAAGCUUGGUAUGAAAUGUGCUACACUGCCAUAUAAAGCAAUCAGACACGAGUAUGAUGACCAUCCUCUCAUCCUCACCUACAUUAAUGAAAAUGACUACCAACCUUCCUGUAUAAUUUGUGAAGAAGAUAGAGACCCAAAGCUCUGGUUCUACCGUUGUGAGGAAUGCGACUUCGAUGCUCAUCCAGAAUGUGCUCUCGGGAAAUUCCCAUAUGUCAAGCCAGGGGGGGUUCGCACAUAUCCUAAUCACCCUCACCCUAUUGCUUUGGUCGACAAGACAGAGGAUUAUCGUCCACAGGCAUGCGAUGCUUGUGGUGAGCCUUGCGAUGACUUGGCCUUUGAAUGUACUGAUCCUAACUGCAGUUUUAUCGUCCACUGGAAAAGAUGGGAAUGCUAUAACUCAUUAUGGUAAUUGGAUUGCAGUUGUUGGCUUUUUUCUUAUUUUUGGGUUAUGAUUGUUGGGGUGAAUGGUUAGCUUCAUACUUAUUAUCUCUGUUUCUAUUUUCGCAUAUCAGAUCACUUUUUUUUCUCUGUUUUUUUUUCUGAACAUGGAUGCUAUUUUAUUAAAACUGUCAAGCUCUCCAUAAAUUCUGCAUUUACAUUUGUUAUAGAUUUUAUUGUAAAUGCAUAAAAAUAGUCAUAUAAAACAACACUUAUCUAACUGAUAUCAAUUAUUUUCAUUCAAAUAUUUAAAUUUUAUUUCCUUAACACAAUCUAAUAUUAAAUAAAUGUAUUUAAAUAAUAUUUAAAAUGAACACCUCAAGGGCAUUCAAUAACUUUGUCUUUUAAUAAGAUAUAUCAUGAAAAAGUAAGUUAAUUCAUGCUCUUGGUAUUUUUCUUCUUAAAAAGAGUAAGAAUAUUUGGUUAGAUCUGAUAAAUCAACGACGAUUUUUAAUUUAGAUAAAAAGCUUUUUUUAGCUCAAACCCAAUUUAAUUAUUUGAAAGUGUUAUUGAUUUUAAAGGAUUAUAAAAUUCUAAUUUUAUAGAAAAUAAAUCUUUUAAAAUCUUCUAAUAAAAUUUGAGAUAAAAAAAAAUCCUUUACAAGACUGCUUAUUUAAGAAAAAUAUCCAAUUAAAAAUCUCCAACCUUUGCAUGCUGCUAGCAACAUUCCCAGCCUUCUUGGAUUGUAUUUUUCUUAGUUGCUUGGUUUAUUUGUAGUAAAUUGGUAAGUACCAGCGAGUUAGGUUAAAAUUAGGUGCAUAUCUGAAGCAUUCCUUAAUGUUUGACGUCAUAGGAAUGUUCAUAUCGUGACAGUUAAGGUAUCCUUUUCUCUUUGGAAUUUAAGCAAAAAAAUUCUCUGUUUCAUCAAAUUGAGUCGACAUCGACUCAUAAAUUCCCUCAAUUAUAUCAUUCAAGCAAGAACAACUUGUUAUCGUCAAUCGACAUCACACCAAAUAAUUACGAUAACGAAAAAUAAAUUUGAUUAAUUAGCUGUACUGGACUUGGAAUUAAUGCAUUCACUGUUUUCUGAAACUUUUCCUAGUAGAUUUUCAACUUUGCUAUGAGUUUUCAAAACAUGAUAAAAAGAUUUCUAUUUUUUUAUUUUGUUCAAGCAACACUGACGACAUGGCAAUAAGCUAGCAUUUCACUGCUAUGGAUCAUGGCGAUUUGAUUUGUUUUCCAAUUUACAAUUUAGUCAAAUUCAAAGAAAACUAACACAAAAAAAGAGAGUAAAUGACCUGUUCAAAAUCUAAUUAGAAAUAAACUUCAUUUUUUGAUAUAUGGGAACUGAUUAUAAUGAUAACUUGACCAUUGAAACCUGAAAAGGCAUCCAUCUGAAGAUGCCACCUACAUGAUUUAAUGUCAUUUUAGUUUUUGCCGUAUACAAAAUCUCCAACCUUUGCAUGCUGCUAGCAACAUUCCCAGCCUUCUUGGAUUGUAUUUUUCUUAGUUGUUUGGUUUAUUUGUAGUAAAUUGAAUUGAAGUAGUAAAUUGGUUUAUCAGCUAAUCAAGUUCUCGAGUAUAGUUGUGAAUUAGUUAUUUGCUCUGGAUGCGAGGGACCGAUAUGGGGUCCUUGCUACAGUCGCACCUCUUGCUACUUCUUUCUUCAUAAGAAAUGCGCCGAGCUGCCCCGUGAGAUCAAGCGGCGCAUUCAUCCGAGACACCCUCUCCAUCUUAUGCCACAGCCACCGUAUAAAACACGAUGCUUUUGUGAUCGGUGCGGCAAAACUUUCAACAGUUUUGUUUACCACUGUUCUUUCUGUGAAUUUGAUCUUGAUAUCAAAUGUGCUUUUCAACCGGGUUUUUUGGAAGUUGAUAGUCAGGCACAUCAAUUUGCCCACAAGGAUCAUCCAUUGAUUUUGAAUGAAGAGCAAGAAUAUCAUGGUGAAGGAGUUAUGUGCUCUGUUUGCAACUUCUUUCUUCACAAGAAGUGUGCUGAGCUACCCCCAGAGAGCAAUCGGCACUUGCAUCCAAAACACACACUUCGUCUACUGCCAAAUCAUGAUACGAUGCGUGAUUUUUGCAACGAAACUUGCUAUGAGAGUUUUGUUUACUGCUGUUUUGUGUGUGAAUUCAACCUCCAUAUCAAAUGUGCUUUUCCACCGUGCGUUUAUGCAGCUGAUCAGGAUCAGGGGCAUCAAUUUCAUUAAAAUCAAUCUCCUUUCACUUGCAAUGCAUGUGGCACAGAUGGAGAUGACUCCCCAUUUAGGCUUGUGCCAACUCGUGGUCCACAAAAAAAUGCAUUUCAUUGCCACGCACCCUUAAAACGGUACCGCACCACCAUCCCCAAAUCAUCCACACCUAUCAUCUUCAACAAUAGAUCAAAUCUUUAAAGAAGUACUGUGGAAUUUGCUGUCGGGAAGUUGACACAGAAUACGGAGUUUACUAUUGCCCAGACUGUGACUUUGUUGCACACGUGGAUUGUAGUAGAGAAUAUGGCGAUUCUUGAACAGAGAUUGUUGAGAAUUUUGAUAUUUAUUACAAACUUGAAAUCUUUUUAUGAUGAAAUAAUUUCAGAUACAAUUCAAGAUACAUAAGAGUAAUAAUAGAAGGAGAAUUUAGUAAGCAUUUUUUCCAUAUUUUAAUACUUCUCACUAUAAUUUCUAUGGAUAUUUAGCAUUGCAUCUUAUAUUUGGUAUUUUUCUGAUUUAGAAAAUUUUAGUUAUCAUAUAAAUGAUUUAUUUAUCUACUAUUUGUUUUUUGGAACCCUAUUAAGAUUUCCACUAAUUAUACAAAAUCUUUUACUCCGUAACCCAAGGCUUUCUAGCCUCCUGAAGAACUGAACCAAAAGGAAAAUGAAGCAUCCAAUUCAUUUAUGGAUUUUUUUUGUCCUUUACAAUAAAAACUGCUUGCAAUAUUUUUAUCUUUUCAUACAGUGCAUUAAUUAUUAUAAAUUUAUUUAAAAAUAUUUUUAUCUAUUUAAUAUAUUUAUGAACAAUAAAAAAAUCAAAAUACACUUAGAAUGAAAAAAAAAAACUAACACAGUAGGGCUGGGGUGUUAUUAUAAUUUUUUUAAGAAUAUAGUAAAAUUAUAUAUAUAACCUUAGGGACAACAAAAAAUUAAGUCAAUGAAAUAGGGGUAUUGCCAUCUUUUUAUCUUCUUUUUUUUUUUUGUAUAUUUUUUGUUUGGUUGAGGUUAGUAAUGUAAUUUAUCAUUUAAUUUAUAAUUUUUAAAUAAAUUUUUUUUUUAAUUAAUAAUAAUAAUAAUAGUUAUAAUAAUAAUAAUCGGUAAUGGUGAUAAUAAUGAUCUCGGCGGCGGCAGCAGCUUAAUAUGUACGUCGUGGGCUUCCCUCUUCCUCACCUAUAUUAAUGCAAAUGACUACCAACCUGAUUGAUUUUUAACUUAGAUAAAAAGUCCUUUCUAGUUCAAAUCCAAUUUAAUUAUUUUUCAGAUUAAUGGGUAGUCCAAAAAAAAUAAUUAAUGCUUUUUGAAACUUCUCAUGCAUUUUUUUAACGAUAAAAACAAGCUAUUGAGUAAAAUCACUAUAUUAAAAUCUUAAUUCUCUAAUUAAAAUAUAAUAUUAUAGUGUUUAUAUAUUAAAAAAACUGAAAAUAAAAUAAAUUUUAAACUAAAUAGAAAAAAAUUCUAAAUCAACUAAUAAAAUAUUAUAAGUCUGGAUAUUUUUUGUGGUUUUAUUGGAAAGUCUUAUUGAUUUUGAAGGACUAUAAAAUUAUAAUUUUAUAGAAAAUAAAGCUUUUAAAAUCUUCGAGUUGAAUUGAGAUAAAAAUAAAAAUUCCCUUACAAGACUGCUUAUUUAAUUAGAAAAAUAUCAUAUAUCAAUCUCGUUUGGAAUUCAAAUUGUUGUAGCCUUAAUUUUGUAGAUAUCCAAUUAAAAAUCUCCGACCUUUGCAUGCUGCUAGCAACAUUCCCGGCCUUCUUGGAUUGCAUUUUUCUUAGUUGUUUGGUUUAUUUGUAGUAAAUUGGUUUAUUUCUUCUUAGUUGUUUGGUUUAUUUGUAGUAGAUUUUCAACUUCGCUAUGAGUUUUCAAAACAUGAUAAAAAGAUUUAUAUUCUUUUAUUUUGUUCAAGCAACACUCAUGACAUGGCAAUAAGCUAGCAUGGCACUGCUAUGGAUCGUGGCGAUUUGAUUUGUUUUCCAAUUUACAAUUUAGUCAAAUUCCAAGAAAACUAACACUCAAAAAAAGAGAGAGUAAAUAACCUGUUCAAAAUCUAAUUAGAAGUAAACUUCAUUUUUUGAUAUAUGGAAACUGAUUAUAACGAUAACUUGACCGUUGAAACCUAAAAACGUAAAUUUGUUAAUUAAGAAAUGCUAGGCACACUUUUUUUUUUACUAAUAUUUGCUUAUCAGUGAAAAAGGAAAAGGCAUCUAUCUGAAGAUGCCACCUACAUGAUUUAAUGUUAUUUUAGUUUUUGCCGUUUACAAAAUUUUACAGCACAUUGAGCCAUGAAAGUGACACGUUUUGGAAUGAGUCCAGAGGGGUCUUUGAAAUUGCAGCGAGACUUGAUUUUAAAAAAUUUUAUUUUUUUAUUUUAAAUUAGUUUUUUAUAUUUUUGUAUACAUAUUGUAUUAUAAAUAAAUUUUAAAAAAUAUAAAUUAAAAAUUUUAAUCCAUUUAAAAAAAUAUUUUUUUACCAUGAUCCCAUACCAAAUCCACGUAGCAUCAUCGGUUUGGCUUUGAAAACAAUGUAAUUUUUCAGUCAAAGAAAAAUUUGGCUUGGUUUCUAGAAUAAUUUGUUUUUUUUUAGCUGUGUUUGUUUUCCAGAAAGUGAUUUCUAAAAAAUUACUUUCCAAACUUUCUUGUGUUUGUUGCCGUUAGAAAAGUUGGUCAACGGAAAACACUUUCCAGUCAAAGAAAAAUUUGGCUUGGUUUUCAGGAAAGUAUUUUCCUGAAAAAUUUGGGCGGAAAACACUUUCUGAAAGUUGUGAAAAUUUUAAAAAUGUCAUUAUUUGCUGAUUAUAUCAAAUUUGAUCCUCAAACUUUUUAUUGUUAUAUAUAUUUUGUUUUCAAUAUUUAUUUUUCAAUUUCAUCUCUUAAAAGUUAAUUUUUAUAUUAACUUUGGUUCUUAUUUUUAUAAUUGCUAUUUUUUUUUCUUAUCAUUUUUUUUAUUGAAAUUUUUUAUCUAUCAAAUUUGGUCCUUAUUUUUUUUAUUGUUACUUAUUUUAUUUGAAAUAAUUUAUGAAAUGUUAAUUAUUAUUAUUUUAAUUUCUUCAUCUUUCAUUUUUUUUAAUUUUUUAGAUUUGAUCUCUAUUAUUUUGAUGAUUAUUUAUUUUAUUUAAGAGAAUUUAUGAAAUUAUAUUUUUUUCAAUUUCAUUCUCAUUCAACCUUUUAAUUUGUAAGAUUUGUUCCUCAUUAUUUUAAUAAACUUGAAAAAAAUAAAAUAUUAAUAAGUUAUUUUUCAGCUUAUUUUUCAUGACAUAACCAAACACUAGAAAAUAUUUUUCAACUUAUUUUUCAUUACAUUAUCAAACAUCAUAAAGUAAUUUACUUUUUUAGAAUUUAUUUUCUUGAAAUUUAUUUUUAAAAAAUAAACUAUUUUUUAACAAAUAAACAGUAACUAGGACACGACCUGUCAGCCUUUCCGUAAUAAUUAUCGUUGAAUGACUGUCCUCAGUUUACAACACCAAGUUAUCUCCAUGUAUCUCUCUUUGUUUCUUGAUGAAAUUCGGUAGACUUGCAUGAUGGUGCUUCCGCGAUAUGUCGUUGGUUUCCAUAUCUUUUGCACUAGGAAAGCCAUAUAUGGGCUAGGGUUAGGUAUAGAGCCAUGACUAAAUGUUCUGAGGCUGUAAACACUUGAAAAUUAAUAACAUCUGCAAUAUAGUACACACUUUGGCAUCUGCAAUGUUCAAGGAUGAUGAUAUCUAAAGCCAAACAAUCUCUGUGUUCUGUUCUUUGUGGAGUCAGAUUGAACACAAGAUUGGCAUUCGAGACUUCAUUUUCAAUCUGUUUCAUGAACUGUAAAUGCUUGAUGAAUGAUUGAAAUCAUGCCUGAACUUGACAACUCCAUUGUUUAGUCACUUUCUAGAUCAUGCAUCUAGAGAUUGUUACGUUUUUUCUGCUCACUGCUUUCUCUGUGUUCUAACAAUAAUCGAAUUGAGUCAACUCCUCCUCCUUGCACAGUCUGUGAUAGCCGGUUGACUAACUGAUGCAGUAUCUGGAAUUGCAGGAUCAGUUCUCAUACAAUUAAUUAGAUUUUUAAUUUCUUGUAAUAGUAUGGCGUACUAAACAUGUUAUUCACUAUUGAUGUGUAUUUGGAAUUGAAAAAGGGUUAGUGAUUUUUAAUUGUUCAUCCUUAUGAUCGAUACUAUUAACCCGAAAAAAAACAAUGCAGGAGCUAGAACUGUAGUAGCUUUCUUGUAAUCAUGAUCCUUCUUUUAAUAGUUUAUUUACAUAAUAUAUUAUGGUGAUAGUUAAGAUUUAGUUAUUUUUAAAAACAAGGAUUUAUUUUACCUAGAGUUUUACUAAUAUUUAAAGGAAUGCUACUAUUGCUAAAAAAAAAUUGCUUUGAUAUUUUAAUUGUUUUAUAAAGAAUUUAAUUUCUUUUUCUAGCUAAAACCAGAGUAUGGCUGUGGUAAUUAUCUCUUGCCUCUCUUUUUUUCCCUACAUCACUAGCCCUUAUCUAUGGCUAACACCUAUAGCUCGGCCUGUUUUCUUUUAAUCCAAACCGUAUUUUACUAAAGUGGGCCUAGGUUUGGAAAAGCUAGCCCAUCAUAAUACAGGAAAGCCGUUGCUCCACAGCAAUUUUCAAUUGUUCGUUUUCUCGGCAUAAGGAUAUCAAAAACCAUCAAGAAUACACGGUUAAGGGACACUUUAUUUCUGUUAGUAUACUUUGUGUGUGUAAUGUAUACAAGCAUUUAAUUAAUUAUACAUUUAAUUAAAAACUCUAUUUUUUUUCAUCAUCACCGCUACCACCGUUAUCAAAGUCUUAGUACACGUUUGUCAUUGAACUUGAACAUGUUUUUCAUUAAAAUUUGAAUUUUUUUUGUACUUUAUAUUAAUUAUGUUUUAGUAUUUUUGAAUUAUUUUGAUGUAUUGAUGUCAAAAAUAAAUUUUUAAAAAUAAAAAAUAUUAUUUAAUGCAUUUUCGAACUAAAAACACAUUAAAAAACAAUAUCUACCACAUUUAUAAACAUGCCAUUGACAAACUUAGAGAAUGGAAGUCUUGUUAUUACUAUUUCAAACAUUGAAAAUUUAAAGGAUCACCAUACCAUCUUGUAUUUGUUCCAUUUCAAACAUUAGAUUACUUUUUAUUUAACCAAUAUUUUCUAGUGAUGUAUAUAUUUUGUUUUAUGGUUGGAUGAUUUUUCUGGUACGGUUCGUCUUAUAAUUAAGACUAAAUCCAUUUCAAGGAUUCGAAUAAGGAGAUGCUAAUUAUUUGUGAUGAGACUAUUAGAUAAUAAAAUGCCAAAACUGAAUAAGUGAAGGAAAAAAAAAAAAAACCCAUCGAAUAGACUAGCCAGGCAAAUGGUGCUGCCCUGUUAAGCAUCAUUUUCGUUCUGAUAUUUUUCAAGGCUAAAAUAGACUAUAUGGCCUGUUUGUUUGUCAAUUAAAUAAUAAUAAUAAUUGGUUUGCUUGAUAAUGCCAAGCCCAAUUGGAUAACAACCCACCUUCAAAUCCAAGUAGUUUUUGUGGAGGGAGUAAAAGAAGUAUUUUUGUCAUAAGAAUUCCUUGUUCAUCUCUUAAGGCUGGAAGUGAGGCCCAUUUCAAAUCCCAGCAGAGGAGCAAACUGAUAUUCUUCCCUUGUACAGUACUUUCAGACAUAAGCAUGAUCAAGCAAACGGAUGAAUAAUCAAGAACAUAGUUAAUAAUUCUCCAGGAAAGAACAUCUCAGGCCACUUUCAUAAGCACAGAGGUUAUGCAAUGCUUCAAUCUUCAGUGCUAUCUCACACCUUACCUGCUCCUGACUUAGUGUUACAUAUGAAGGUUGCAUUUGGCUGGUUUGUAGUGUUUUCUGUUAGAUGAUUUCACAAAUGAAUUCUUUCCAAUCUUAUCAUAUAUCUUGCAAGGAGGAGGGGGGGAGUUGGAAGGAAAAGCAUGAGAGAUGAGAAAAUCCAAAUAGCUGCACUGCCUAAUAUUGUCCGCCACAGCCUACAAGUCAGUAAUUGCAGUUUUAGCAUCAGAAUCUUUAUCAGCAAGCUCAUCAGGAAGAGGAAUAUCCUGGUAGUGCGCUGCUGCUUCUUGAAAAGCAGCACAUCGUCGGCCGUCCUAAUCAACGUUGCCCUUGGCAAAUCCCAUUUCCCCGUGCAGCAUGGCGUCUUUCACAACCGCCUUCGUGUACAGUUGAAGUUGAUUUUGAUAUCUAAGAAAUCAAAAAUUGAUAAAUAUCAUAAUACCGUCCGUGAAUCCUCACAAACGUGAAAAGCAGCACAUCGUCGGCCGUGCUUAUCAAUAUCUUUGCCAUUUCCCUUACUCUGCUCAACAUUGCUCUUGGCAGGGGCGGAGCUGGUAGCAUUUGACAGGGAAGGCUAAAACUAAUAUAAUAAGAUAUAUUUUUAAAAAAUUUAUUUAUUUAAAAUAAAAAUAUCAUACUAUUUUAUAUUUAAAUAUUAAAUAAAAAAAUUAAAAUGUUUUGCAGGGGCUGGCCGCUGCUUGCCUCCCCUGGUUCCGCCCCUGGCCCUUGGCAAACCCCAUUUCCCCGUGCAGCGUGGCGUCUUUCACAACCGCCUUCAUGUACAGUACCCCUUGAGAGCCCAGUUGAAGUUUUGAUUUUGAAAUCGCGUCGCAACCGUGAAUCCUCACGGUCUGCCCAUAUGGAGAGAGCACCAUUUAAUUAGGCCUUGGCCCAUACACCUCUUACAAGUUACAACUAAGCUAUAAUACCUCGUGGAAAAUAUACACAAAAAAAAAAAAAAGGAUGACGGAAAUGGAUAGAGGAUUCAAUCAAGAAAUAUCUAAAAAUAUGAUGACUUAAUUUUAGUUAAGCUUGUUAGAAAAAUAAUUAAUUGUAAAUACACCAGUUAAGAUGUAGACCACCUGCUCAAAAUCAAACAAGAAAAAAAAGUUGAUAAACAUCAUAAUUUAUUUUAACAAAUAUCUAUAUUGAUUUGUAUAAUUUUGAAAUGUUGAUAUACUUUCCUGCAAUCAUCUUGCAAUUGGAAUGCGAGUUUGUCAUCAAAUUUUUUAAAAUAGUUUUUGCUCUAAAAUAUUUUAAAAUUAUUUUAAAUAUCAAUACAUCAAAAUAAAAAAAAUAAUAAAUAAAAAAAAUAAUUUUUUAUUUUAAAAAAAAUCUUGAUAUGACUGCAAAAUAGCGUAGAUAGUAACAUAAAGUUGUGUUAAACAAAAAUUAUAAUACUUUUUUCUAAAAAAUGGAUAACAGAUGAUCAUUUAAAAAAAUAAAUUAAAUUAGUCCAUCUCUUUUCAUUAUAAAAUCUAGAAAUCCAAAGGCAAUAAACAAUAAACAAUAAAAGGACAUGAGAGGAUGAAUAUGAAUUGAAUCCUAAUUAACUCCACUCUAAAACUAAUAACUUAUUAUAUGGACAUGAUCCAGUAACUAAGCAAUGGACCAAUCCAAUAGAAUACUAAGCAAUGGACCAAUCCAGUAAUAUAAGAAGUUGAGGAGACCCAACGAGGCUUCUCCUCCAACCAGAAAAGAAAGGGGAAAGUGUCUUCUUAUUCACAUGCUUAAAUAAUAUCAUCUGCACAAAAAGAUAGCUUUCCUCACGAUCUUCUUCCCACCUCCUCCUUACAUAUAACACCCUUCCUUCCUUUUUGGGCUUCUUUGAAUUCUGGGUCCUUUAAAUUCCUUUUUCGUUUCGGCUUUCUGUCCCGUAAUCUUUGCUAAAUGGGAUGAAAGAAGAAAAAUGCUUCCCCAGCAAUUGAUUGGCUGAUCUGUAAUGUAGCAGCAAGCAGCUGUAAUUAUUUAAUUAGCCGUCGGUGAAGAGGUCAAGUUUCAGUUCAGAAGGUGAGGUAUUGAAUACUAGUGGCACUCAACUUUUAUUUGCCUUUCCAUUUCGAUAACAUAGAAGGUUAAGUCUUGCCUUGGCUCAACACCCCUCAUUUCCUGCUCUGUCUUCUGAGAGAGCCAGAGACAUGGAGGUUGAACAUUUUAGCCACCCAGAUCAUCCAUUGAUCCUCGUUAAUCAAGUUCUCGAAUAUAGUUGUGAACUAGUUAUUUGCUCUGGAUGCGAGGGACCUAUAUGGGGUCCUUGCUACAGUUGCACCUGUUGCUACUUCUUUCUUCAUAAGAAAUGCGCCGACCUGCCCCGUGAGAUCAAGCGGCGCAUUCAUCCUAGACACCCUCUACAUCUACUUGCAAAGCCACCAUCUAAUUACACAAGAUGCGUUUGUGAUCGGUGCGACAAAACUUGCAACAGUUUUGUUUACCACUGUUCUCUAUGUAAGUUUGAUCUUGAUAUCAAAUGUGCUUUUCAACCGGGUUUUUUGGAAGUUGAUAGUCCGGCACAUCAAUUUGCCCACAAGGAUCAUCCGUUGAUUUUGAAUGAAGAGCAAGAAUAUCACGGUGAAGGAGUUGUGUGCUCUGUGUGCAAGGAGCCAAUGUCUGGUCCUAUCUAUAGUUGCACUUCUUGCAACUUCUUUCUUCACAAGAAGUGUGCUGAGCUACCCCCGAAGAUGAAGAGGCACAUUCAUCCAGAACACCCUCUUCGUCUACUGCCAAAUCAUGAUAUGAUCUGUGAUUUUUGCAACGAAACUUGCUAUGAGAGUUUUGUUUACUUUUGUAUUGUGUGUGAAUACAACCUCCAUAUCAAAUGUGCUUUUCCACCGUGCAUUUAUGCAGCUGAUCAGAAUCAAAGGCAUCAAUUUAGAAGCCUGCUGAAUCCACUUUCAUUCAAAUCAAUCUCCUUCACUUGCAAUGCAUGUGGCACAGAUGGAGAUGACUCCCCAUUUUGGUGCACUAUGUGCCAACUCGUGGUCCACAAAAAAUGCAUUUCAUUGCCACGCACCCUUAAAACGGCACUGCACCAUCAUCCCCGAAUCAUCCACACAUAUCAUCCUCAACAACGCAUCGAAUCUAUAAACAAGUACUGUGGAAUUUGCUGUCGGGAAGUUGACACAGAAUACGGAGUUUACUAUUGCCCAGACUGUGACUUCGUUGCACACGUGAAUUGUAGUAUAGAAUAUGGUGAUUCUGCAACAAAGAUUGUAGAAGAAAACGAAGAAGAGCAAAGUGUGACUGUUUAUGAUCAAUUCAUGGAACCUAGCUUGUGCGUUGUCCGUGAGAUCAAGCAUGGAGAGGAGAGAAUAAUUGAAGAGAUCAAACAUUUCAGUCAUCAACAUAACCUAAUCCUUAUUGACAAGGUUGAUGAUGAUCUAAAGUGUGAUGGGUGCAUGUUACCAAUCUCAACUCCAUUUUAUAGGUGUGCCAGUUGUAAUUUCUUUCUUGACAAAACCUGCAUAGAAUUACCCAGGCGAAAAAAGUGGCAAUAUCACGAAAACCAACUGAUUCUUUCAUGGAACCUAUGGGAACAUGAUCUGUGCUACUGUGAUGUGUGUAAGCAAUAUUAUCGUGGGCUCAGGUACACAUGUGAUGUAUGUGGAUUCUGCAUUGAUGUCCGAUGUUUCAAAUCAUUGGAAGAUUCUUUUAAACAUGGAGGUCAUGAGCAUCCCCUUUAUCUUCCAGCGGGCAGAAAGAAUAUUCUCCGUUGCAAUAUUGGAGGUCGCUGGCUUCCCCCUUCGGUUGCAUCGGACGGAGAGAAUAUUCCCCAUUGCAGUGGCUGUUGUGUCAGUGAAGAAUCAAAGGUAUUUUUUAAAUGUGUGGUUUGCGAUUUCAAGCUGGGUAUGAAAUGUGCUACACUGCCAUACAAAGCAAGACACGAGUAUGAUGACCAUCCUCUCUUCCUCACCUAUAUUAAUGAAAAUGACUACCAACCUUCCUGUAUAAUUUGUGAAAAAGAUAGAGACCCAAAGCUCUGGUUCUACCGUUGUGAGGAAUGCGACUUCGAUGCUCAUCCAGAAUGUGCUCUCGGGAAAUACCCAUAUUUCAAGCUAGGGGGCGUUCAAACAUAUCCUAAACACCCUCACCCUCUUGCUUUGGUCAUCAAGACAGAGGAUUAUCGUCCGCAGGCAUGCGAUACUUGUGGUGAGCCUUGCGAUGAGUUGGCCCUUGAAUGUACUGAUCCUAACUGCAGUUUUAUCGUCCACAGGAAAAGAAGGCAAUGCUUUAACUCAUUAUGGUAAUUGGAUUGCAGUUGUUGGCUUUUUUCUUAUUUUUGGGUUAUGAUUGUUGGCAGUUGCUAGACAGAGGAUUAUUAUCUCUGUUUCUAUUUUCGCAUAUGAGAUCACUUUUUUUUUUCUCUCUCUUUUGUUCUGAACAAUAAAAGAUGCUAUUUUAUUAAAACUGUCCUUGAAGGUAGUUUGUUGUUUCCUUGAGCCUUCGUAGUGAGAGAGAUGUCUGACCUUCCACCAUUUGUUUUAGCAUAGCAGGAAGCUCUUGAUCCUCUCCAUAAAUUAUUCUACUUAUUGUUUCGAUUCCCUCUUUACAUUUUUGUUAUAGAUUUUAUUUUAAAUGCAUAAAAACAUUGUCAUAUAAAAUAAUACUUAUCUGAUUUUUCUUUUACAGAAGAAUAAGAAUAAGCCGCGAUCUUGUUUAUCCAAUCCCAUUUCAAUUAUUUGGUUAGAUAACAUAAAUCAGCGGCGAGGCAAUUUAGAACCUGAUUGAUUUUUAAUUUAGACCAAAAGCCCUUUCGAGUUCAAACCCAAUUUAAUUAUUUUUCAGUCUGAUUAACGAGUAGUCCACAAAAAUUAAUUAAUGCUUUUGAAACUUCUACUGCAUUUUUUUUAGCGGCAAAAACAAGUAAUAUAAAAUUCUAUCAAGUAAAAUCACUAUAUUAAAAUUAUAAUUCUCUAAUUAAAAUAUAAUAUUGUAGUGUUUAUAUAUUAAAAAAUCUGAAAUAAAAUUAAAAAAUAAAAAUAAAAUUUAAACUAAAUAGGAAAAACAAUUCUAAAUCAACUAAUAAAAUAUUACAAGUUGAUAGUUUUUGUGGUUUUAUUUGAAAGUCUUACUGAUUUUAAAAGGCUAUAAAAUUCUAAUUUUAUAGAAAAUAAAGUAAUAAAAUUUGAGUUGGAUAAAGUAAAAAAUAAAAAUAAAACUAAAUCCUUCACAAGACUAUUUAUUUAAGAAAAAAAAUCAUAUAUCAAUCUUUUAUCUCAAAUUCAAAUUGUUGUUGUUUUAAUUUUGUAGAUAUCCAAUUAAAAAUCUCCAACCUUUGCAUGCUGCUAAUAAUAUUCCUAGCCUUCUUGAUAUUAAGAAUUUGUUUGUUUUUGUAUUUCAAAUUAAUUUUUUUAUAUUUUUAUAUUGUUUUGAUAUGUUAAUGUUAAAAAUUAUUUUAAAAAAAUUAUUUUAAUAUUUUUCUAAAUAAUUUUUUUUUUUAAAAUCAAUCAAAUAGUUAACGUGGAUUGCGAUUUCAGCCCUUGUAAUAAAUGGGCUACUCCGCCAUGUAAAGCUAGACACAUGUACGAUGACAAUCCUCUCUUUCUCACCUAUAAUGAUCCAAAUGACUACCAAUUUGUCUGUCAAAUUUGUGAAAGUCAUAAAGCUCUGUUUCUCCCGUUGUGAGAAAUACGACUUUGAUGCUCAUCCAGAAUGUGCUCUUAGAAAAUACCCAUAUAUCAACGUAAUGGGCGUUUACACAUGACUUUCAGACUCCCCGAUGCACGAAUCCAUGAACUCUUCUUCUUCUUCUUCUAUUACUGUGUUGUGUGUGUAGGUUUUUAGAAGAAGAAGAAGACUUUUAUUUCUUAUUCAUUCAAUAGAUAUGGUUACAAGAUAAAAUAGUAGAGGAGAUCACCAAAUUAGAAAGGCCACAAAUUAGGAAAUCAAAAUAAAGAUUGGAUCUCAAGGCUAGAAAAACAAGAAACGGGAGCUUUGUUAAUGUUGGCAUAUUCACAGGCAUUCAGAGUUUCUUCAAGAAUUCUCUUUCUAUAUUCUACCUCAGCACUGCUUCUUGCAACCACAUUUUGUUUCUUACUUUGCCAUGUAAUUAUAUUUCCUCAAACUUAAGUACAAUAUUCUAAUGUGGAUCUGCAUCAGUGUAUGCUUGUAUUGUCUGUGCUUGUCUGGUGUGCUUUUCAAGUAUAUGAGAAUCCGAUAAACUGCUUCAAGAUGUUCAUGUGCAAUGCAUGCGGCAUGAACAUCAAUUUAGACGCCUACUGAAUCCACUUUCACUCAAAUUAAUCUCCUUCAAUUGCAAUGCAUGCGGCACACACGGAGAUGAGUACUCGUCUUUCAUGUCAAUUCGUGGUCCACAAAAAAUGCAUUUCACUGCCACGCACCCUUAAAACGGUACUGCACCAUCAUCCCCAAAUCAUCCACACCUAUCAUCCUCAACAAUGUAUCAAAUCUAUAAAGAAGCACUGUGGAAUUUGCUGUCGGGAAGUUGACACAGAAUAUGGAGUUUACUAUUGCCCAGACUGUGACUUUGUUGCUCACGUUAAUUGUAGUAUAGAAUAUGGCGAUUCUACAUUAACAGAGAUUGUAGAAGAAAACGAAGAAGAGCAAAGUGUGACUGUUGAUGAUCAAUUCAUGGUACCUAGCUUUCGCGUUGUCCGUGAGAUCAGAGAAGAGAGAAUAAUUGAAGAGAUCAAACAUUUGAGUCAUCAACAUAACCUAAUCCUUAAUGACAAGGUUGAUGAUGAUCUAAAGUGUGAUGGGUGCAUGUUACCAAUCUCAACUCCAUUUUAUAGUUGUGACAGUUGUAAUUUCUUUCUGGACAAAACCUGCAUAGAAUUACCCAGGCGAAAAAAGUGGCAAUAUCACGAAAACCAACUCAUUCUUUCAUGGAACCGAUGGG